rnacentral:rRNA from 1 species
UUCGGAGUCCGAGUUGUAAUUUGUAGAAGAUGCUUUGGGUUGUGGGCUCGGCCUAAGUUCCUUGGAACAGGACGUCAUAGAGGGUGAGAAUCCCGUAUGUGGCCAUGGCCCGCGCCUAUGUAAAGCUCUUUCGACGAGUCGAGUUGUUUGGGAAUGCAGCUCAAAAUGGGUGGUAAAUUUCAUCUAAAGCUAAAUAUGGGCCAGAGACCGAUAGCGCACAAGUAGAGUGAUCGAAAGAUGAAAAGCACUUUGGAAAGAGAGUUAAACAGUACGUGAAAUUGUUGAAAGGGAAGCGCUUGCAACCAGACUUGGGCGCUGCCGAUCACCCCGAGUUCUCUCGGGUGCACUCGACAGCGCACAGGCCAGCAUCGGUUCGGGUGGCUGGAUAAAGGCCGUAGGAAUGUAGCUCUCUUCGGGGAGUGUUAUAGCCCACGGUGCCAUGCAGCCCAGCCGGACCGAGGACCGCGCCUUCGGGCUAGGAUGCUGGCGUAAUGGUUGUAAGCGACCCGUCUUGAAACACGGACCAAGGAGUCUAACAUCUAUGCGAGUGUUUGGGCGUUAAACCCAUACGCGGAAUGAAAGUGAACGUAGGUGAGAACCCCUUUGGGGCGCAUCAUCGACCGAUCCUGAUGUCUUCGGAUGGAUUUGAGUAAGAGCAUAGCUGUUGGGACCCGAAAGAUGGUGAACUAUGCCUGAAUAGGGUGAAGCCAGAGGAAACUCUGGUGGAGGCUCGCAGCGGUUCUGACGUGCAAAUCGAUCGUCAAAUUUGGGCAUAGGGGCGAAAGACUAAU